rnacentral:rRNA from 1 species
CGAAAGCCUGACGGAGCAAUACCGCGUGCGGGAGGAAGGCUCUUGGGUUGUAAACCUCUUUUCUCAGGGAAGAAGCUCUGACGGUACCUGAGGAAUCAGCCUCGGCUAACUCCGUGCCAGCAGCCGCGGUAAUACGGAGGAGGCAAGCGUUAUCCGGAUUUAUUGGGCGUAAAGCGUUCGCAGGUGGUUCUUCAAGUCUGCUGUUAAAGCGUGCAGCUCAACUGCAUAUAGGCAGUGGAAACUGUUGAACUAGAGUAUGGUAGGGGUAGGGGGAAUUCCCAGUGUAGCGGUGAAAUGCGUAGAGAUUGGGAAGAACACCGGUGGCGAAAGCGCCCUACUGGGCCAUAACUGACACUGAGGGACGAAAGCUAGGGGAGCG